rnacentral:misc_RNA from 1 species
GUAUUGUAUUGCGUUAAACGCGGUGCACAUUCCAUAAAACUUCACUAAGGUGUAUGUGUAAAAACAUAGAACCACAGCAGGAGGACGGUGCAUCCUCCCAACCAUAGAACUACAGAGGGUGCACAGGUGUGAGUGGAUGUGUGAACAGAGCGUGCACAUGCCCCCAUCCAGGGACCAGCAACAACUCAUGUUGACAAUUCAGUAAUGAUCCUUCCGCAGGUUCACCUACGGAAA